AAGUCGUAACAAGGUUUCCCCUGUAUUAUUUAGCUUGGUAUAUUGCCCUUCUUUAUAUCCUACUUGAAGCCUUGAAUCCCCAGUCUGGCAGCCUAGCUGUCGGGCAACACUUGUCUGUUGCUGGCGUCUCGUUAUUAUGAGUACCAGCAGUCGCUAAUGCGAUUCACAGAUCACACACAAGUGGUACACCGACCCUCUUGAAUGAAAAUUCUUUACAAUCAACGGCCGCUGGUGGCACAUAUUUAUAUUGUCGUUGUAGUCCGUGGGAGUGAAGAGUUUGUUUAGAGUGUCUUUUAUGUGUAUUCUGAUAUGACCGGUCCUUCUUUUUAUGAAGAAGGGUUAUAUGUUCCGUAGGUGAACCUGCGGAAGGAUCAUUACCGAGUUAGGGUCUUUAUGGCCCGACCUCCCAACCCUGUGUUCAAUCUACCAUGUUGCUUUGGCGGGCCCGCUUUUAGGAGCCGCCGGGGGGUUUUCAGCCUCUGGCCCGUGCCUGCCAGGAGCCUUAUUAAAUUCUCAAUAACAGUGUCGUCUGAGUACAAAUUUAAAUCGUUAAAACUUUCAACAACGGAUCUCUUGGUUCUGGCAUCGAUGAAGAACGCAGCGAAAUGCGAUAAGUAAUGCGAAUUGCAUGAAUUCAGUGAGUCAUCGAAUCUUUGAACGCAUAUUGCGCCCUUUGGUAUUCCGAAGGGCAUGCCUGUUCGAGCGUCAUUAUCAAUCAUAAGCCUGGCUGNUGNUGACCUCUGUCGAUCGACAGUAGUUCUAAAGAUAAUGAGCGGUGUCGUGGUGCGCCAAAUGCAAUGAGCUUUGACAGCACGCAUUCGGUGGUCUCGCGGCCCGAUCUUAACCAUUAUUUUCAAGGUUGACCUCGGAUCAGGUAGGAAUACCCGCUGAACUUAAGCAUAUCAAUAAGCGGAGGAAAAGAAACCAACAGGGAUUACCCUAGUAACGGCGAGUGAAGCGGUAACAGCUCAAAUUUGAGAUCUGGCCUUCACAGGUCCGAGUUGUAAUUUGUAGAGGAUGUUUCGGGCGAGGCUGCGGUUUAAGUUUCUUGGAACAGAACGUCAUAGAGGGUGAGAGUCCCGUCUAGAACCAGCAGUCGCGUCCAUGUGAAACUCCUUCGACGAGUCGAGUUGUUUGGGAAUGCAGCUCAAAAUGGGUGGUAAAUUUCAUCUAAAGCUAAAUAUUGGCCAGAGACCGAUAGCGCACAAGUAGAGUGAUCGAAAGAUGAAAAGCACUUUGAAAAGAGAGUUAAACAGUAUGUGAAAUUGUUGAAAGGGAAGCGCUUGCAACCAGACUUGUGUAUCACAGUUCCCCCUGGUCUUCUGACCGGGUUAUUCUGUUUUAUCCAGGCCAGCAUCGGUUCGGGUGAUCGGUUAAAGGUCUUGGGAAUGUAUCUACCUUCGGGUCGACUUAUAGCCCAGGGCGUAAUGCGGCCUACCUGGACCGAGGAACGCGCUUUUGCUCGGAUGCUGGCGUAAUGGUUGUAAGCGGCC
rnacentral:rRNA from 1 species